CCUACGGGUGGCAGCAGUGAGGAAUAUUGGUCAAUGGACGGAAGUCUGAACCAGCCAAGUCGCGUGCAGGACGACGGCCCUAUGGGUUGUAAACUGCUUUUGUACAGGGGUAAAACUUGCUACGUGUAUCCUGCUGCCUGUACCUUAUGAAUAAGGAUCGGCUAACUCCGUGCCAGCAGCCGCGGUAAUACGGAGGAUGCAAGCGUUAUCCGGAUUUAUUGGGUUUAAAGGGUGCGUAGGCGGUUUUUUAAGUUAGUGGUGAAACGUCCGGGCUUAACCCGGGAAUUGCCUCUAAUACUGUAAGACUAGAGUGUAGAUGAGGUAGGCGGAAUAAAUGGAGUAGCGGUGAAAUGCUUAGAGAUCAUACAGAACUCCGAUAGCGAAGGCAGCUUACCAGACUGUAACUGACGCUGAGGCACGAGAGUGUGGGGAGCAAACAGGAUUAGAUACCCGAGUAGUC
rnacentral:rRNA from 1 species